GUUCGAACGAAUCCCGGUUGGGUAACUGAUCGGGGGAAGUGGCGAAAGGGGCAGUAAGGCGUGGGUAACCUACCCCGGGGACCGGGAUAGCCCUUCUAACGAGGGGGUAAUACCGGGCGAGCUGACGAGGGGGCCUCCCCUUGUCAGGAAAUGAACUUCGCCUCGGGAGGGGCUCACGUGCUAUUAGCUAGACGGCGGGGUAACGGCCCACCGUGGCAAAGAUGGCUAGCGGGUGUGAGAGCACGACCCGCGCCACUGGCACUGAGACACUGGCCAGACACCUACGGGUGGCUGCAGUCGAGGAUCUUCGGCAAUGGGCGCAAGCCUGACCGAGCGACGCCGCGUGCGCGAUGAAGGCCUUCGGGUUGUAAAGCGCUGUCGAGGGGGAGGAAGGCCGCAAGGCUUGACCUAUCCCUGGAGGAAGGACGGGCUAAGUUCGUGCCAGCAGCCGCGGUAAGACGAACCGUCCUAACGUUGUUCGGAUUCACUGGGCUUAAAGGGCGCGUAGGCGGGCCAGAGGGUCCGGGGUGAAAUCUUUCGGCUUAACCGGAAAAGUGCCUCGGAAACCGCUGGCCUGGAGGGAGGUAGGGGCAUGUGGAACUUCUGGUGGAGCGGUGAAAUGCGUUGAUAUCAGAAGGAACGCCGGUGGCGAAAGCGACGUGCUGGACCUCUUCUGACGCUGAGGCGCGAAAGCCAGGGGAGCAAACGGGAUUAGAUACCCCGGUAGUCCUGGCCUUAACGAUGGGGACUAGGUAGCGGACUUGGCAUGGGUUCCCU
rnacentral:rRNA from 1 species